GACGAACGCUGGCGGCGUGCUUAACACAUGCAAGUCGAACGAUGAAGCCGGAGCUUGCUCUGGUGAAUUAGUGGCGAACGGGUGAGUAACACGUGAGUAACCUGCCCUUGACUCUAGGAUAACUGCGGGAAACUGUAGCUAAUACCGGAUACGACCCUCGGAGGCAUCUCCUGGGGGUGGAAAGAAUUUCGGUCAAGGAUGGACUCGCGGCCUAUCAGCUAGUUGGUGAGGUAAAGGCUCACCAAGGCGACGACGGGUAGCCGGCCUGAGAGGGUGACCGGCCACACUGGGACUGAGACACGGACCAGACUCCUACGGGAGGCAGCAGUGGGGAAUAUUGCACAAUGGGCGCAAGCCUGAUGCAGCAACGCCGCGUGAGGGAUGACGGCCUUCGGGUUGUAAACCUCUUUUAGCAGGGAAGAAGCGAAAGUGACGGUACCUGCAGAAAAAGCACCGGCUAACUACGUGCCAGCAGCCGCAGUAA
rnacentral:rRNA from 1 species